AGUUAAAAAUUAAUUAAAUAUUCUUAUUACUUGCCAAUUAGUUAGUAAAUUUAAGGAGAAAAAGUUUAAAAAAAGAAUCACAAAGUUUAAACCCUUAGAAAAUUUUUGAGGUCUUGAAGAAGUUCAUCACUUUACAGAAUUUGAUUUGACAAUUAAAACUAGAUAAAAAGUGAUUAAAUAUGUUAAUUACUUGUUAAAUAGUUGAUGAAUUGAAGGAGAAA
rnacentral:lncRNA from 1 species